GUCUUUGUAAGGAGACCACUGAGACUAGCAGGAGCGCGGCGCAGUAGCCUCUCUGCUGCCCUGACUUUUUAAGAAAUCUCAAUGAACUAUUUGUAAAGAAUCACUGAUCUUGCCUGGAAGCUUUUUCCACGGCAAAGACAUCGAUCAGUGUUAAGUGAAGAUCACAUUUUAUAUGUGAUCUUGACUUUUUUGUCUUACAUUAUAUUUUUAUAGAUUUUGUUAUAAACAUGGUGCUGGGAAAGGUAAAGAGUUUGACAAUAAGCUUUGACUGUCUUAAUGACAGCAAUGUCCCUGUGUAUUCUAGUGGGGAUACAGUCUCAGGAAGGGUGAAUUUAGAAGUUACUGGGGAAAUCAGAGUAAAAUCUCUUAAAAUUCAUGCAAGAGGACAUGCGAAAGUACGCUGGACCGAAUCUAGAAACGCCGGCUCCAAUACUGCCUAUACACAGAAUUACACUGAAGAAGUAGAAUAUUUCAACCAUAAAGACAUCUUAAUUGGAUACGAAAGAGAUGAUGAUAAUUCCGAAGAAGGCUUCAACACUAUUCCUUCAGGAAGGCAUGAAUAUGCAUUCAGUUUCGAGCUUCCACAGACACCACUUGCUACCUCAUUCGAAGGCCGACAUGGCAGUGUGCGCUAUUGGGUGAAAGCCGAAUUGCACAGGCCUUGGCUUCUACCAGUAAAAUUAAAGAAGGAAUUUACAGUCUUUGAACAUAUAGAUAUCAACACUCCUUCAUUACUGUCACCCCAAGCAGGCACAAAAGAAAAGACUCUCUGUUGCUGGUUCUGUACCUCAGGCCCAAUAUCCUUAAGUGCCAAAAUUGAAAGGAAGGGCUAUACCCCAGGUGAAUCAAUUCAGAUAUUUGCUGAGAUUGAGAACUGCUCUUCCCGAAUGGUAGUGCCAAAGGCAGCCAUUUACCAAACACAGGCCUUCUAUGCCAAAGGGAAAAUGAAGGAAGUAAAACAGCUUGUGGCUAACUUGCGUGGGGACUCCUUAUCAUCUGGAAAGACAGAGACAUGGAAUGGCAAGUUGCUGAAAAUUCCACCUGUUUCUCCAUCAAUCCUCGACUGUAGUAUAAUCCGGGUGGAAUAUUCACUAAUGGUAUAUGUGGAUAUUCCUGGAGCUAUGGAUUUAUUUCUUAAUUUGCCUCUUGUCAUCGGUACCAUUCCUCUACAUCCAUUUGGUAGCAGAACCUCAAGUGUAAGCAGUCAGUGUAGCAUGAAUAUGAAUUGGCUUGGUUUAUCCCUACCUGAAAGACCUGAAGAACAUGCUGUUCGAAUUGCGUGUAUCUUUUUCCUUCAGCACCACCCAGUUAUGCAGAAGUGGUCACAGAGGAACAAAGGCGGAACAAUCUGGCUCCAGUGAGUGCUUGUGAUGACUUUGAGAGAGCGUUUCAAGGACCACUGUUCGCCUAUAUCCAGGAGUUCCGGUUCUUACCUCCUCCUCUUUAUUCAGAGAUUGAUCCAAAUCCUGAUCAGUCAGCAGAUGAUAGACCAUCCUGCCCCUCUCGUUGAAGGAACAAGUGGUUAAAUCAAGUUGAUAUGGAUUCCGAACUGUAUCUCUUCUGGCUGAGGACAGAGAAGUAUCUUGGAGACACGUUUUCAGAGGAAGUGGAAUUACUUUUGCCCAGAAAAAUGGCAAAUACAAGAAACAACCAGUGAUCAUGCUUUAGAAGCCUACAGCAACAUUCUGGGGCUGCUCCAACAUGCUUGAAGAUCUAAGCUUUUCUUCUUUAAAACUGGCACAUACCAAGAGCAGUCUUCUUAGCCUAUGGUCAUGUGUGUCAAGACACCACGUUAUAAAGAGGGAUGAUUUCCUUCUUUUGAUUUGAAAAUUUGCACAUGCUCAAUGCUUACAUUGUGCGGUUCAAUGUCACUACAGCUUUUUUUUUUCCAUUUAUGCCAGACUCUUGAUACUCUUUUAAAACUUGUUUGUGAUCAGCACAACAAGGAACAAAAGAAAGCUUUGAAAAAAAAAAAAACUUUAACGUGAAAAAAACGCACUGACUUUUUUUUUUUUUUUAAUUUAAUAUAGCCUGGACUUUACCUGCGUAUGCACAUGCUCAGAAUUGUCCUACUAGGCUGACCAUGUAUCACCUCUUCAGCUUGGAUCCUAUUGUGGAUUUAUUUACAAACAUCAAAUGCCUUCAAGCCAAUCUUUCUUGCUGUAUGUUUUGCAGCCUACUGUAGUAGAUACGCAACAGAUAAUGUGGGAAAAGAGAUAAGAGGAGGAAGCUAAUAAGAGACUUUGUCAAGAUUGUAUACCUUCUUGGUUUCUUUUAAGAAUUUGUUGCCUUUCUACUAUUACAGCAAAGCAGCAUUUUGUUACUGACUGCCUAAAAUCACUUAAUCUCAGGUGAACGCAUCACUUGCCAAACUGUUGGAAUGCUAUUUUGUGUUUUGUUGCACUGUUGAGUUAUUUUGUUUGUUUGGUUGGUUGGCUUUUUGGAGAGGGAAAUUUGGUAAAGGGACAUACACAAAAGUGAUAACCCACCCGCAUUCCCUUUUUAUCAUUACACAUAAGAAGAAACUAGAAGAGCUAAGAAUGGAGUAAGAAAGGCAGUACGGCAGGCACCAGCAAAGAGUUAAGGGCUGUUGCUCUUAAAAAUUAUUGUUACUUUUAGUGUUUUUUAAAAGUAUGGAAGUUUUCCAGUCAUCAGAGGGGAGGAGAAAAUGCAUUUAUUUUUAUACAGAGUUACUUAAUUACCUCCAAGCAUGUAUGUUGGAAACCAUUUUUGCUGGUGCAGAGUAUUUUAAUGAGCAGGAAUAUGUGUAUGUGUGUGUGUAUACACACACACACACAUAUGUACAUAUAUAUAUAUACACACAUAUAUAUAUAUACAGGUUAUGAAUAGAGAGCUCAAUUUAUCAAUUUCUUAUCCUGCUCAAGCUUGACAGAGCUUGAAAAUCCAAGUUUAUUCUAAAAGUAUAUAACUUCAAAAUUAUAAAUACUAGAAUGUAUGCUGGAAUAAUAAAUGUUUUAUAUUUUUGUGUUGUUUUUUUUAAUGAAAGUAUUUUUUUUCCAAUUACCUGAAGAACAUUUUGCUAAACAUGACAAAUCACUUACUUUUAGUAUAUUUAGAUAGGAUAGGGAAAAUGAUUACAUCAUCAGUAAGUUAUAGUUUAUAUUAAAGAUAAUUUACAGUUGGUUCAUAACAAAUAACACCAGCAUUCAUUAUGACACUUUUAAAACAGCAUUUUCCAAGGUACCAGGUGUAUUGAUUGUCUUAUUUUAGAAGGAAUUCAGCUCUGAUGUUAAUGAAAAUCAGCAUCUGUGAUGUUACAACAUACAUGUGAAAUGGGUGUUGCAUCUAUCCUGUCAUUUAACCCCACAGUUAAUAAGGUGACUGAAAAUAAUAGUAACUCUGGCUUGGUGCUUGACCUGGUUAAAUACUGUCUUAAAGCUUCAUAUAAAACAAAUAGGCUUUUCCAUAAGUGGCCUUUAAGAAAACAUGGAAGACAAUUCAUGUUUGAAAAAUGCUGACAGGGUGAAGAAAGCCCAGUGUAAAAAUGAAUCGCGUUUUAAGUGAUUCAGUUAAAGGGUUUGGGCUCCCGUAGCAAACUAAUACUAGAUAAUAAGGAAAUGGGGGUGAAAUAUUUUUUUAUUGUUGUUAAAUCAUUUUGUGAAUGUCCCCCUCAAAAAAGCUAAUGGAAUAUUUGGCAUAAAGGGCAUUUGGUGGUUUCAUUUUUGUUGGGGGGGGGGUAUGUUGUCAAAAUCCCUUUUCUUUUUUAUGUCUAACUUCUAGGGAACAAUUGUUGAUACGCAUAGUAUUGGAAUACUUACACCGUAUACUCAUAACACAUAAAAGCAAGAAUGACCAAUAUUCUGGUAAUUGGCACUGGGUCACGAAAUAAAAUGUGAUAAAACUCUAAGUAUAUAAAACUUUAUGAAAUAAAGUUUUAUUUUCCCCAUUAAAGAAUUUCUUUACUUUUUUAUUUAGAGGCAUUACUUUACUCUUUCCCAAAUAUUGGUCAAUUUCUGACAUAAGAUGUGAGAUUCACAGUUGUAUUCCAGUAUUCAAGAUAGAUUCCUGAUUUUUCAAUUAGGAAAAGUAAAAUCCAAAAUGUUAGCAAAACAAAGUGCAAUAUUAAAUGUUUGCUUUAUAGGUUAUACUCUAUGGCUCUCUUUAUUUUAUUUUUUUUUUCCUUUUUUAUUUGGUGCUGAAUAUGUCCUUGUAGGCUCUGUUUUAAGAAAACAAUAUGUGGGAAAUGAUUUGAUUUUUCCUAUUGCUCUUCCUUGUGAAAAAUAAAGUGUUUUGUUUUUU